UUAAUUUGAUGAAGUAUGGCAACCCAACAUCUCUCACAUUUCACUAUGACCUUCAAGACAUUAAACAUGACUUUUGUCAAAUGUAAUAUAGUUUAAUUAACACUUUAAACAAAAGUGGCCAUUUUAUUCCAUCACCCAGCCUAUUUAUUCAUUUAUUUAGGUAUUUAUUUAUUUAUUUAUUUAUUUAAAAGCAUGCACAACCGCACUAUCCGAAUUUUAAACCACUCGCUUUCCCUCGUUUUGUCCAACUCUCAGAACUAGACAAUUAAAGAAAUAUACUUUUCUUUAUAUUAAAACCCAAUUUAGCUUUUACCUCAUGUAGCAUUGCGUCAUUUCAGUGAUGACUUUUGCGUAAUGUUUCAAAACAUCAGCCAUCGCUCAUGAUAUCCAAUAGGAGGCGUCUGAUUCAAUCACGUGACCUGGAGGCUGCUAAUUGGCCUCGCGGGGUUUAAUUAAACUGGUUUGUUUGGAACACUGCAGCCGAUGGAAGUGUUGGAAUGUGUUAAAGAAAUGUUUAUAAACAUAAAAAAAGAAAAAAAAGGCUCCCAACCGCGAACAGAGCACAACGAGAAGAAUUAGAGGAUGUAAAUACGACUGUUUCCGGAAACGGAAGUAGAGUAGACGGCGAAUGGCGGCUUUACACAAUAGAGUUGGAGUGACGGCUGCAGAAAGAAUUCUCUAUAGAAUCUUUGCGGGAGAGUCAGACCUCCUGUCAAAGCACGAGGUGAAGGAAGAAAACAGAUUGAGGAGGAGUUGCACGAAUCCGCCAAGAGCAGAUGUCCAUCGGUAAACGGUCCUCUUCACGAGAUGUUCCAUCCACCAUUUUAUUCCUGUUGAGCUAAAUCCCAGCAGGUCGGAAUAGUUUGUGCUAGGCAAUAAAAGUUCCCUGUAAGGGUUUGGGAUGUGCACCAA